rnacentral:rRNA from 1 species
CCUGCGGAAGGAUCAUUACUGAGAACUUGCCCUUUGGGGUAGAUCUCCCACCCUUUGUUUACAAUGCCUCUGUUGCUUUGGCAGGNCCGUCUCACGGCCACCGGCUCAGGCUGGUCAGUGCCUGCCAGAGGACCUCAGACUCUUAGUAUUUUGUUGUCUGAGUAUCACAUAAUAAUUAAAACUUUCAACAACGGAUCUCUUGGUUCUGGCAUCGAUGAAGAACGCAGCGAAAUGCGAUAAGUAAUGUGAAUUGCAGAAUUCAGUGAAUCAUCGAAUCUUUGAACGCACAUUGCGCCCUCUGGUAUUCCGGGGGGCAUGCCUGUUCGAGCGUCAUUUCAACCCUCAAGCUCUGCGUGGUAUUGGGCGCCACCUACUCGGUGCGCCUUAAAAUCAGUGGCGGUGCCAUUUGGCUUCAGGCGUAGUAAAUUCUCUCGCUCUGGAGGGACCAAGUGUGGACUUGCCAGCAACCCCUAAUUUUCAAAGGUUGACCUCGGAUCAGGUA